rnacentral:rRNA from 1 species
GGCCGCGGGAAUUGGAUUCAGGCCUAACACAUGCAAGUCGAGCGGUAGAGAGAAGCUUGCUUCUCUUGAGAACGGCGGACGGGUGAGUAAUGCCUAGGAAUCUGCCUGGUAGUGGGGAAUAACGUUCGGAAACGGACGCUAAUACCGCAUACGUCCUACGGGAGAAAGCAGGGGACCUUCGGGCCUUGCGCUAUCAGAUGAGCCUAGGUCGGAUUAGCUAGUUGGUGAGGUAAUGGCUCACCAAGGCGACGAUCCGUAACUGGUCUGAGAGGAUGAUCAGUCACACUGGAACUGAGACACGGUCCAGACUCCUACGGGAGGCAGCAGUGGGGAAUAUUGGACAAUGGGCGAAAGCCUGAUCCAUAAAGGCCGCGUGUGUGAAGAAGGUCUUCGGAUGUCAAUUUAUGGGAGUUGGGAGGAAGGGCAGUUACCUAAUACGUGAUGUUUGA